GCUGCCCCUAGAGGCGUUGCAGGUGUGGCUGCAGUGUCACACGUGUGUCCACAGGUGGCAGAGAGCAGAGAGGCUAUGUCUACGCUCAGUGUUCUAACCUGUGAACAUCUGAAUGAUUAGUAGCCUGACACCU
ensembl:snoRNA